AUUCAAAAGUGUAUAAUUUGGAAACUGGAAUAUUCUUUCAUGGGAAGUCUGGCCGAAGAAGGCGGCGACCUCCUUCUUCCUCGUGGCGGUGUCUCCGGUGGUGCCAAAACCGGGGAAGGACUUUGCAGCGGUGAUAAAGGCGUUGUAAGUGUAGAAACCUCUAGCAGGACAAGCGGCAUCAUUCCUAUGCUUAAGCAUAUCAUCGAACUGAGAACUUGAAAUGAUGCCCGAAAGAUCGCCGGUGGGUCCAGGAGGAGUACCACCGGGAGUGCACUGGCUUUGGCAGCCAGGCUGCUUACAGUAUGGUUCGGUGUUACCGCACCAGCCGAACUCGCUGCAGCAUAGACCGUUGGGGCAGAGUGCUCCUCCAGCUUGGCGACCACAUUGCUCGGCCGAGGAUAAUGAUAGGAGAAGUGAAAAGAUGAGAAAGAGAAAAAGAUUAGUCUUCAUUUUGUUCAAUGUUCUAUGGUUUUCUUUUUGUGGAGGCAUGAAAGAUAUAUAUAGAUCCAAUUAAUGAAUGUUUUAUCACAUCAAAUUCUAUCUUUUUCCAUAGUUUAUUGUUUGUUAUGUCUAUGGAGUGUGGCUAUGGGGAACAAACAGUAUUUGGUAGGUUUGUUUUUGAUUAUAUUUAUUUUCCUUCCGUCAUUGUUGCUAGGUUAGAUAUUGAUUUGUUUUUUUGGGGGAUUAUCAUGUUAAUUCCAAGUAAUGAGAACUUUCUAUGUAUGAA